GACGAACGCUGGCGGCGUGCCUAAUACAUGCAAGUAGAACGCUGAAGGAGGAGCUUGCUUCUCUGGAUGAGUUGCGAACGGGUGAGUAACGCGUAGGUAACCUGCCUGGUAGCGGGGGAUAACUAUUGGAAACGAUAGCUAAUACCGCAUAAUAGCAGUUAUUGCAUGAUAACUGUUUGAAAGGUGCAAUUGCACCACUACCAGAUGGACCUGCGUUGUAUUAGCUAGUUGGUGGGGUAACGGCUCACCAAGGCGACGAUACAUAGCCGACCUGAGAGGGUGAUCGGCCACACUGGGACUGAGACACGGCCCAGACUCCUACGGGAGGCAGCAGUAGGGAAUCUUCGGCAAUGGACGGAAGUCUGACCGAGCAACGCCGCGUGAGUGAAGAAGGUUUUCGGAUCGUAAAGCUCUGCUGUAAGAGAAGAACGAGUGUGAGAGUGGAAAGUUCACACUGUGACGGUAUCUUACCAGAAAGGGACGGCUAACUACGUG
rnacentral:rRNA from 1 species